CCUGAAAAUUAAACUGAGCCAGGGCCACAGACGCCUUCGCGGAGAAUGAUCUGUGAUAAUCAUAAAAAGAAGUACCACCAUAUUUAUGCCCCAGGUCCACCAACUUGUGUAAAUACAAGUCAAAUUCCUCUCUGCGUUGCAGAUAAACUGAGCACACCCCAUCCCUAUAAAUCCCAAAAGCUAGUACGAACUCAGGGAUAG